rnacentral:rRNA from 1 species
GAACGGCAGCACAGAGGAGCUUGCUCCUUGGGUGGCGAGUGGCGGACGGGUGAGGAAUACAUCGGAAUCUACUCUGUCGUGGGGGAUAACGUAGGGAAACUUACGCUAAUACCGCAUACGACCUACGGGUGAAAGCAGGGGAUCUUCGGACCUUGCGCGAUUGAAUGAGCCGAUGUCGGAUUAGCUAGUUGGCGGGGUAAAGGCCCACCAAGGCGACGAUCCGUAGCUGGUCUGAGAGGAUGAUCAGCCACACUGGAACUGAGACACGGUCCAGACUCCUACGGGAGGCAGCAGUGGGGAAUAUUGGACAAUGGGCGCAAGCCUGAUCCAGCCAUACCGCGUGGGUGAAGAAGGCCUUCGGGUUGUAAAGCCCUUUUGUUGGGAAAGAAAUCCAGCUGGCUAAUACCCGGUUGGGAUGA